CAGGGAGACAACAAAAUGUUAAAUAUUAUUUUGUCACCUUAGGUCGAUCGGUAUCUCACGUUCUUAAUUCAUUAAGAAUUUCAAUUCCUAAGUUUUUCUAGGUCACACCCAUUAUUUUUCCUGGGCCAUUAGCUCAGGUGGUUAGAGCGCACCCCUGAUAAGGGUGAGGUCCCUGGUUCAAGUCCAGGAUGGCCCAUAUCUCUAUGUUGGGGGUAUAGCUCAGUUGGUAGAGCGCCUGCUUUGCAAGCAGGAUGUCAGCGGUUCGAGUCCGCUUACCUCCACUGAUUACCACCUCUUCCAUAAUCUGGAGAAAGGAAAUAUUUUGAGUGUGAUCAAAUUCUGAACGAAUCUAGCUUCCUAAUGAAAUCAUUAAGAUGCUGGACUCAUUGAAUUAAUUUCAUUGUUUUCAGAGAACCUUGACAACUGCAUAGAUUAUUUUUAAAGACAAUAAGCAUCUUUAAUGAUGCAGAUUUAUUAUUUGUGCAAAUGCAUUAAUAACAAUUCUAUUAAGCUGAUGCUUCAAUUUUGAAGUUAUU
rnacentral:tRNA from 1 species